CUCUCCCUUACCUGUGGUUUAGGAGAUGUGCACAAGAGGAAGACCAAAGAUAUCUGCCAGAUACUAAGUCCAAAGCUGUCUCAGUUCUGCAAAUCAUUUCCUUACUGAACUGCACAGAUUUCAGGAGCCUGAAGUUUUCCUUAGAAAGUAACCAAAAGUGGAUCAAUA
rnacentral:lncRNA from 12 species